CAGCUUACAUUGUUUACCCAUCAUUACCACACUCAGUGUAGGUGGUGGAACGGCAUGACACAGAUGUUCCAAGGCGAACCAUCCCAUUUAUAGUUGCGACUUUCUGUCGUUGACUGCUGGAUGGAGAAACGGGCUCCCUCAGAAGAAGAGAUUUUUUUUUUGGAAUCUUUGACCCGUCGUUAAUCGCCCAUUUCUUUCUGUCAAUGAGAGAAGAGGGUUUCAUAUCAGGGUUACAUGAUGAGCUAUAAGACGGCAUGAAUCAAAACUGAAAUGUUGGCAAGUAGAUGACGGAUAGGAUUUCACAUCUUGCCAUCGUGAAAUGGUUUCAUGGGUGCUGGUUGUGGUUGUGUGUCUUUUCCUCUUGUGCAUGUAUGAUGGAAUGGGGUUUCUACGAAUCUCCUCUUGCCCAAGCCCGAUCUCUCGGAAGGCACUGGUAUCAAACGUCUGGAGCACUGUGAUAUUGUAACUUCGAAGAAAGUGUGGGGGAAUCCAGUGCAUAGGCCUGCUCUCAAACCUAGCUCUCUCGAACCAGCUCCCUGCAGCCUCGGCAGGGAAUCCAACUCUGAUAUACAAACUGUAAAAUCUUCUUUCCAUUAUGACAAAUUAAUCUACUUGGAAAUCACCCAUACUCUGUAGCGUCCAUCCAAGAUUCCAUGAAAAUGCAGC
rnacentral:sRNA from 2 species